UACAGAGGGUGCAAGCGUUAAUCGGAAUUACUGGGCGUAAAGCGUGCGUAGUCGGUUAUUUAAGUCGGGUGUGAAAUCCCCGGGCUCAACCUGGGAAUUGCAUUCGAUACUGGAUAGCUAGAGUUCGGCAGAGGGAAGUGGAAUUUCCGGUGUAGCGGUGAAAUGCGUAGAUAUCGGAAGGAACAUCAGUGGCGAAAGCGACUUCCUGGACCAGAACUGACGAUCAGGCACGAAAGCGUGGGGAGCAAACAGG
rnacentral:rRNA from 1 species